CCUACGGGAGGCAGCAGUGGGGGAUAUUGCACAAUGGGGGAAACCCUGAUGCAGCGACGCCGCGUGGGUGAAGAAGUAUUUCGGUAUGUAAAGCCCUAUCAGCAGGGAAGAAAGAAGACGGUACCUGACUACGAAGCCCCGGCUAACUACGUGCCAGCAGCCGCGGUAAUACGUAGGGGGCGAGCGUUAUCCGGAUUCACUGGGUGUAAAGGGAGCGUAGACGGCCGUGCAAGCCAGGAGUGAAAGCCCGGGGCCCAACCCCGGGACUGCUCUUGGAACUGUGCGGCUGGAGUGCGGGAGGGGCAGGCGGAAUUCCUGGUGUAGCGGUGAAAUGCGUAGAUAUCAGGAGGAACACCGGCGGCGAAGGCGGCCUGCUGGACCGCGACUGACGUUGAGGCUCGAAAGCGUGGGGAGCGAACAGGAUUAGAUACCCCAGUAGUC
rnacentral:rRNA from 1 species